CCUACGGGAGGCAGCAGUGAGGAAUAUUGGUCAAUGGACGAGAGUCUGAACCAGCCAAGUAGCGUGAAGGAUGACUGCCCUAUGGGUUGUAAACUUCUUUUAUAAAGGAAUAAAACGAGGCACGUGUGCCUUUUUGCAUGUACUUUAUGAAUAAGGAUCGGCCAACUCCGUGCCAGCAGCCGCGGUAAUACGGAGGAUCCGAGCGUUAUCCGGAUUUAGUGGGUUUAAAGGGAGCGUAGAUGGGUUGUUAGGUCAGUUGUGAAAGUUUGCGGCUCAACCGUAAAAUUGCAAUUGAUACUGGCAGUCUUGAGUACAGUAGAGGUAGGCGGAAUUCGUGGUGUAGCGGUGAAAUGCUUAGAUAUCACGAAGAACCCCGAUUGCGAAGGCAGCUUACUAAACUGUGACUGACAUUGAUGCUCGAAAGUGUGGGUAUCAAACAGGAUUAGAUACCCUUGUAGUC
rnacentral:rRNA from 1 species